UUCACCUUGUUGGCCAGGCUGGUCUUGAACUCCUGUCCUCAGGUAAUCUGCCCACCAUGGCCUCCUGAGACCCCGUGCCUGGCCUGGUCAAUUACUCACCUCUGAAGAGUGAUUCAUUUGUGUGCCGAAAUUCAAGAGCUUUGAGUCCUCAGUGACUUCAUCCUGCAGGGCCGGGGGCUGGGCUUGAGAGAAGGUGGGUGGGUCAUAAAGGAGAGUGAAGAUGCCAGCGGCCUCUGCAGACCCUGAUCUGCCAGUCUAGAUGAGAAAGCCUUGAUUCUGCUGCUGCACAGUGAGCUCAGGUGAGUUACCUGAUUGUUUUGCCAUUUGUCAAGUAGGGCGAUACUGGCCGCAUACCAGUUUAAAGGGGCCUACUGGGAAUAAAAUGUGACUAUAGCAGUGGAUAGGCAUGCUUUGAAAAUGCAGAAUACAAGUGCCAUUUACUUGCUGCUGCUCAUGGCUAGUAUAGGAGGACCAGUGGCACAGGUGUCAGAAGCUUCUCUGGCAGGACCUGCUCGUCCUCCUGGACCUAGUAGUUUUGUGGAAUCUGAAGGCAAGGCAGACAGAUCCAGCAAGCAUCGGAUUGAAAGUACCAGGGACUGGCAGAGGGAGUAGGGAUCACGGGGUCUGUUCUCAGAGUUCACGGUUCACUUUGGAAGUCAAGAUGAAAACUAAGGGAGCUAUGCAGGCACAAGGGAGGCGGGGAAUCGGGCACACAGCACGCACGGGCAUUCUGUUGCACCAAAGGCAGGGGCUGUCUCCUCCCUCGCCCGAGCUUCCUCCUGUGCUCCAGGCACGCCCUGCCUCAGGGGCAUAGGACAGACUCCCCCCUCCCUGAAACAGUCUUUCCUGCAGUAUUGCAGGGUAACCCCUCAACCCCUGCAUGUCUUUGCUCAGCUAUUACCUCCUGUGGGAAUCCUCGUGCCUCCCAGUUUGAAAUGUCAGUGUUUCUCCUUGCCCGCAGUGCGCCCGAUUCCCUUUACCCUGCCUUGCUCUCCGUUUGUCCAGGGCGCUUACCUCUCUAGCGUGCCGUGUUGCUCACUCACGCUUACCGAGAGGGGCAGAGCCCGGGCUCUGGAGUCAGGCUGCCUGGGGUUGCGUUGUGGCUUCACCACUUGCUACUCAUGUGGCUUUGGGUGGAUUAUUUAACUGCUUUGGCCUUGGUUUCCUCAUUUGUAAGAACAAUACCUAACAGAAUUUUUGUGACACUCAAAUUAAUUUGUGUUUAUAAAACGUUUAGCAUAACACCUGCCAUGGAGUCAGUGCUGUAUUGUUUAAGUGUUUAAUAAAUAUGGCCUUUAUUGUCCGUCUCUGUCC